rnacentral:SRP_RNA from 1 species
ACUUUAUGGCGUACUCCUGUAAUCAAGCUACUCAGAGAUUUGUUUGGUCGGUUGUCCGCUUUGAGGAUGGAGUCCUGAUGGUCGAUUUUCUAUGGUGAUCGGGUGUCUGCGCUAAGUUCGGUAGGCAAAACACCCCGUGUCGAGCUGUAGUGUGAUCGCAUCUGUGAACAGUCGUCAGCUAGCAGCCUGUUCGAUACAGCUGAACUCCAACCUUU